rnacentral:rRNA from 1 species
UACGGAGGGUGCAAGCGUUGUUCGGAUUUAUUGGGCGUAAAGCGAGCGUAGGCGGGCCGGUAGGUCGGAUGUGAAAGCCCUCGGCUCACCCGAGGAAGUGCAUCCGAAACCGCCAGCCUUGAGUGCCGGAGAGGGAAGUGGAAUUCCCGGUGUAGAGGUGAAAUUCGUAGAUAUCGGGAGGAACACCAGUGGCGAAGGCGACUUCCUGGACGGUCACUGACGCUGAUGCUCGAAAGCGUGGGGAGCAAACAGG